AGACAGGUGGAUCCCCUAAGGUCAGGAGUUCGCCCCUCCUGCUCCCCGCCCGAGCCCCGCCCACCAGCGGCUGCGGCAAACGCGAGCCCGCCCUCCCAGGUCUGUAAUCCCAGCAAUUUGGAAGGUGGAGGAGGGUGGAUCACUUGAGGCCAGGAAUUCGAGACCAGCCUGGCCAACAUGGCGAAACACUGUCUCUACUAAGCGGAGGUUGCAGGGAGCCAAGAUCACGCCACUGCACUCCAGCCUGGGCGACAGAGCGAGACUCCGUCUCAAAGAAAAAAAAAUACCACUGCACUAACCCCUACUUGUGGCUGGGGCCAUGUUUUGCUCACUGUACUUCCCUAGGGUGUUCAAAAUCAUGCCUUGUACUCAGUAAGCUCCCCAUAAAUUACGUUAGUUUUUAACAACAUAUUUCAGAUGUGUUUAAAUACUUUUCUGUUACAAAGAUUCAAUACAGGCUGGGUGCAGUGGUACACGGCUAUAAUCCCAGUGCUUUGCAAGGCCGAGGUAGGAGGAUCACUUGAGCUCAGGAGUUCAAGGCCACCAUGAGCAACAUAGUGAGAUCCCGUCUCUACCAAAAAAAGAAAAUAUAUAUAUAUUAGCUGGGCAUGGUGGAGUGCUCCUGUAGUCCUAGCUACUAGAAAGGCUGAGGUGGGAGGAUCGCUUGAGCCCAGAAGUUUGAGGCAGCAGUGAGCCAUGAUCAUACCACUGUACUCCAGCCUGGGCAAGAGUGAGACUCUGUCUCAAAAAACAAAAAUCCAACAUGCAUCCAGUAUCAGUAUCACUGUGGUAGCCUG
rnacentral:lncRNA from 1 species